rnacentral:tRNA from 1 species
AGGCCUGUAGCUCAGCGGGAGAGCGUCUGUCUUACAAACAGAGGGUCGUCGGUUCGAUCCCGACCGGGCCUA